UGACUUUGUUCCUUCACCCUCCAGAAAGGAGUCGAUCUGCCUACUCCUUGAAUAUGCGCUAAGCCUGUGAGUUGCUUUCACAGUGGAAUCUGUCAAAAGUGACCCUCGCUGAGUUUCAGAGCUUAAGUUUCAAGAUGCCUGGCAGCUUCUGCCUCAUCCCCUGUCCCUGUGGCUGAGCUGUCCACAAUGUCUGGUGGGUCUGAAAAUGGGUAGGCCUAUGGCUGGGGACUUGCUGGCCAGUGGGAGGGCUCAGAUCCUCCCCAAGAUGUAGUAUGGAAAGAAGAGCAUGGGGUUACUUCAGAGGUUCAGGCUACAGGCUGAAAUGCUACCCAUGCAGAGGAAACCAGACUUCUAACAGGCCUUCCUAUCUCCACUGGACAGCUCGUUCUUAAGCGCAGCGUUUACCAUGUUACUUCCUUGUUUGAGAUAUUUUAAUAACUAAACCUUCCUCUAAUAUUUUCAGGGCUUGGGGCAAGAGUACAGAUAGAAACUGACAUAGCCAAAUAUAUUAAAAAAUAUAAAUCUAUUUAACAAACUGAGAAAAGAGUAUGUCUUGUGAAAAGCAUGCCUUUAUAUUGACAAAAUUUAUACGUACAUGUAAAGUUAUGGCUUUUAUACUACUGAAGUCAAGAAAAUAGUAAAAACAAUUAAAUUAUCUUAUUGUGCAUGUCUGAGUAUUAUAAUAUAGUUUAUUAUGUUGACUAAGAAAAUGAAGGAUGUAAAACAUAUAGCUUAUUAUAUAUUUAUUCUAUAAUAUUCAUCUUAGCCAAAUCAGUUAUUUUAAUCAAGAUUUUUCACAUAAUUUAUAUUCUAGUGACUGUGGUGAUCAAGAAUUAAAAAUAUUAAAAGUGUAGGAGUUCCUGUCCUGGCUCAGUGGUGAACGAACCUGACUGGCAUCCAGAAGGACAUGGGUUCAAUCCCUGGCCUUGUUCAGUGGAUUAAGGAUCUGGCGUUGCUGUGAGCUGUGGUGCAGGUCGAAGACAGGGCUCAGAUCCCGCAUUGCUGUGGCUCUGACAUAUGCUGGGGGCCACAGCAUCGAUUUGAUGUCUAACCUGGGACCCUCCAUAUGCCGCAGGUGCAGCCCUAAAAGAUUAAAAAAAAAAAUUAAAAGUGUAAAAAUUAAUUUUGGAAUAUUUUCAUCAAAGAUGUAAAGUAAAUGUUAAAAAAAAAGGAAUAUGAAAAUCAUUUUUAUAUAUCUUUUCAAAAGAGGCUUUCCUCCCCAAAUAUCAAGGUUAUCUAUAAAAUGAAAAGGCAGAAGCUAAAUUAUAAUAACUAUCAAAAUAUUAAAUAAGAUAUUUUAAAAUAAAGCCUUCACCCUCAUGGGACAGUUUUGCCACCUGGUACUGGAGGAUGAGAAGCCUCUAGGAAAAAAAGCGAAUCACAGUGCAAAAGCCCCAGUCCAUUGUCAGGCACAGAGAGGGAGGUUCAGGUAACUCAGGUGAGCUCAGGUGCGCCACCAGCUGCAUGAAGCUUCCCAAGAGAGCACCCAGGCAAGAUGAGAAAAAGAACCAACUCACCAAUACACAGAAGCAUAGGAAAUAAUUAUUAGAAAUUGGAGACAAUGUUAUUCUCACUUACAACCACAGAAGAAAGAAUAAAUGACUUGCCCAGUGUAAUACUGUCUCUUGGUGCAGGAACCAUGAUUUAAAACAAACACUCCAUACUUAUUUCUCCUUUGUGCUCUUUCUUAGGAAGUGGCAGAGAAUCUUCAGGGAAACUGUAACUGGAUCUAGAUUAUGGCUUCGGCCCAUAGAUUUUAUCUGUUAGGUAAAAUUUAGAAUUUAGAAUUUUAGAUUCUCCUGAUCCUUGUGGAGGAACAAAGCAUUAGAUGAAGAUUUUUUAUUUGGCACUGAGUUAAUGCAGGAGUGAAGGUAUAUCAAAUGAACUAAAAGAAAUAGGGUGACAUGCAAUUUUGUUUAGCAAAACCCUUACUAACAUAAAUUCUAUUUCACUUUCUAACUGCACCCAUAUAAUCCUGAUCCCAAAUUAGCCUUCAUUAUAUUCAGUGAAACCACGUGCAUUUGGUUUUCUAAAACAUAUUAUCUGAGGCAUCAUUAAUGAAGCGUAUCAAAUUAACAGAUAUUUGUUGAGCUCAUGCUGUGCGGAAGGCUCUGUGUUGGAUGUGGUAUCACAUGUUCCAUCCUGAAGAGCCAGUGUGGGUGGCCUCCUGUAGCCGGCUCAGAUUUCUGGAAUGAUGUGGGUAUUUUUCUUUGAUGGUAAUAACGGAUGAAUGAGGAUGCUCGAUUCCUUUUGCACACUUGAGGCUAUAUGAACUAUUGGUCAUUUGUAUAUCAAAGAAAUGAUUCCUGCUGUACAUCUUCUGCCCAGCAAUGUGUUAAUAGCUUCAUCUAUCCAUUUCAAAUAGAAGGGAAGCUAUUUUUUAUUUUAUACUCUUGAGUUGUUUCACUAUUUCUUUGUCCAAAUGUUAUUUUUAUUUACACGUGCUAAUUUUUAAAAGUACAUGUGCUCAGAAGCUAAUAUUUGACAACAUGUGUAUAUCUUUUUAUUAUUUUUAUUUUUUCUCAUUUAUACUUAUUUUUUGAAAGAUUCUUUAAAUUCUACAGUGUUUUACAAUUUUUAAGUUUCACACACAAUUUUGUAUAAUCCCUUAAUAACAUUUUUUAUCCCUUACCCCUAUAUAUUUUUGGGUUGUUCAGUGAGCGUUUAUUUAUGUUAUUUAAAAUGCUUUCAUUUUUGCACAGUUUUCUCAGGACCCCACGACAAAAUACCAUAGACUGGAAGGCUUAAACAACAGAAGUUUAUUUUCUCACAGUUCUGGAGGUAGGAAGUUCACGCUCAGGGUGUUGGCAGUUGUGGUUUCUCCUGAGUCCUCUCUCCUUGGCCUGCAGACGGCCACCUGCUUGCUGUGUCCACACAUGGCCUUUUCACUGUGCAUUCACAUUGCUGGUAUCUCUGCCUCUGUUUAGGGACACUGGUCAGACUGGACUAGGCCCCACCCAUAUGAUCUCAUGUAACCUUAAUUACCCUUGAAAUGUCCUGUCUCUCCAUACAGACACAUUCUAAAGCACUAGGAGUUAAGGCUUUAAUAUAUGCAUUUAGGGAAGCACAAUUCAGCCCGUAACAAUUUUCAUUAUCUUAUUUAUAUUAACAGAAUAUAUAAAUCCCUUUAUGCUAUUAUUAAAUGAUACUGUGUUUUCCUCUUUACAUUAUUUUAAAGGUCUACAUUUUACAUACCUCUUUGAUUGUAACAAUAAUUAUUAUUUAACAUUUAUUUGGUACUUAGUAUCUGUCAGGCAUGCUGCUAAUUAUUUGAAUUAUAUAGCAUGUAAGCUGUAUGCAACCGUAAGAGCUAGAUACUACUAUUAUUUCUAUUGUGGUGGUGAGAAAACAGAGGUUUAGGAUGUUCACAGACUUGUAAAAGUUCAUGACUGAUAAAUGGAAAAGACUAGAGGCCCUUUGUCUGCAAAACAACUUUGUGAAAUCUGUAUUGCAGGUACUAUGUAAUUUGUUGGGGGUGGGGUAAUGGCUAGUUCCCUUAGCAGAUUUUGAAUUCCUACCUGGUAGCUCCAUUUAUUCUUUGUAUUUCUAGCAUUUUAGUUCAUUGAUUCAACCUAACCUUCCAAAGCUAUGUCUCAGUAAACAUUCUGCUGAACUUGAAUGCAAGGGUGCUUCCUACAUUUUUUGAAUCAAACCAAAUCAAGAGAUGAAACAGUUUGCCUAAGGCUACCCAGUUAAUUGGUGACAGAUUAAAAAACUAGAACUUUAUUACAUUUCUGGUCCAGUUAUUGUACUUUUACACCAAAUUGCUCCCUUUAAGAGUGACAUGACCUGCUAAAGUUUGUAGGAAAGAGAGAGAAACACACACCACAUAUUCAUUUGAGAAUGCUUGUUCUCUCCAAAAGAGAACCCCAACACAGAGCUUUUCUCCUCUGGCAAUCAGAUAUUGAUCUAAUAACUCAGAGCCGACUUUAGAUGAAGGAAUUCAGUGCUAUUUUCAGAACAGCCACAACGCCAUUUUUAAAUUUAUAAUGAAAAAAAAAAAAAAACAAACCCACUUCUAUUGGGCAUGGAAUUAGUUAUAUCUGCUUGCAUAGUUUCAGAUCAUAAAGGCACCUGUGCAUUGUCAGCUGCAUCCUUGUGACACCUACCCCUUGUGCUUUCACAUUACAAUUUCAGCUUUAGCUUUGAGUGGAAAGCCCUGGGGUGUCAGCGUGCUUUCUAUUAGAAUCCAAUUCAUUGUCGUUCCUCUCCUUCAGCCAUCUGGUUACGACUGUGAGUAAACAGGAAGCACUGAUGCUUUAUAAAGCAUAGAAGGAUGAAGUCCCAAGCAUUUCAAAUGGUCCCUAGCUUUUCCACUUAGAAAUCAAAUUCAGUUGUGUUACUCUUUUUGCCCCUUUUAUUGUAGCCAUGUUCUGUGUUAUCCUAAUAGACCUUCUUUGAUUUCCAUCUUGUAAAAAUAGGAUAGAGGAUGUUUACUGGUAAUUUCUUAAAAUACAUUCCUUACUGAAAUCAUUACAGAGGCGUUUCACCUUAUUUUAAGUAGGCGUUUUCAAUGUACAUACUGGCCCACGAUGUACAUAUUUAUUUCUUUUUAUUGUUUUAUGCUGACCGAUCCUGCCAUUUUACUCCAUACAUCAUUCUAAAGAAAUCAUUUCAUCUGUUUUUACCAUUUAAUGUGCUCACCUCCAGUGUGGAGACAGUAAGUCUGGACUGUUUAAGAGGUAAACCUGGGAAAAUUAAUUCCAGUUUGGAAAGAAGUCUGAGUGUCUCUGCUGAAGAGGUUUUAUAAUUGAUAUUAUUUUUGUUGCCAUCAACAGGCUGUGGAAGGUAAUAGAAAAAAAAUUUAACUGAACAGGGUCCAAGCCUCAUGCUCAACUGUUGGAGUGUAAUUCUGUUUCAAUAUAGAAGCCUUAAGUUCCAUUCUGUAUGUGAUUGGACCCACAAAAGGCAGGGACUCCACAAACUCAUUACAAUCAAAUGGGACUUGAAUUCUCUUGUCUAAUGUCAUAAUAAGCAAUUAUGAGCAUCUUCUCAGCAUUCAAAUCGGGUAAUGGUGAAACCCUAGAGAGACAUUAGAUGCUGGCAGACUCUGGCUGAUGGAAUGUGCAUAUGCUCAAUGGAUCCCUGAAGGCAGGAUGGGUAGCUGGAUGCCAGGGCAGAUUGCCCUCAGUAUUUAGGGUAGACGCUACCUUCAAUUAUGACUUGUGUUUUAUAAUCUGAGCAGUUAUAAUAAUAUGUGUGUUCAUUCUGGAGAACUCUCUGCGGCAACCGUAGGAACAGCCUUUCACAUCCAUCUCCCAUUUCACGAGAGAAUAGCAAAUGAAACUCUUCUUUCAACUUUAUAUUUCUCUGAUAGCAAAGUCUGGAAAAAUACAAGUUCUACUCUACACUAUCAUUUUGUUUUAUGUUAAAUCUCCUUUUGUCCACUCUGGGAGAAGUAGCAGAUUUUGCAUUAUCAGUGGGCUCCUUUGUAAAGAUAAUUAGAUAAGUAAAUACUUGCAGCCCUACAGCAAGGCAUUGAGGAGGGCUUCUUAUUGGAAAAUUCUCCUACACACAAGUUAGUUACUGAAUUGUGUUAUUCUUUUCAGCUGAGUCCUCAGAGCAAAAUGAGAUGGUCUUUCUAAUUUUUUUUUUUCCCCACUAGUUAAAGAAGGAGCCUCAACCAGAUAAUUUCUCAGGGGGAUUCUUGCUCAAAAUUGUAUGAUUCUGUGAAAAACUGAUCAGAUGACAUUUAGACAUGUUGAGGAAUUCUUUAAUUCAGAGAUCUUUAGAAGGCUGUCCCUUCUGUAAGGACCAGUCUAGAUGGUACAAAUGAAAUAGAAAGUUGGACCAAUGAAACAUCUCUGAAAAGAGAGUUUUGGGGGGGGGGAUGAUUUUUAACUGUAAAGAAAAAGAAAUGGAUGGUUUACAGGAAUUAUUGGUAUUAUUUUCAUAUAUCCAUAAUUUGCAACUUUCCUACUUCUAAAAACUCUCUAAGGCAUAUAAUACACAUUAAAAAUUAAACCAUUAUAAUAAUUGUGUAAACCAACUAUAAU
rnacentral:lncRNA from 1 species